rnacentral:rRNA from 1 species
GACAGAGGGUGCAAACGUUGCUCGGAAUCACUGGGCGUAAAGGGCGUGUAGGCGGGAAUGUAAGUCGGGCGUGAAAUCCCUAGGCUCAACCUAGGAACUGCACUCGAAACUGCGUUUCUUGAGUAUCGGAGAGGAAAGCGGAAUACCUGGUGUAGAUGUGAAAUUCGUAGAUAUCAGGUGGAACACCAGUGGCGAAGGCGGCUUUCUGGACGAUAACUGACGCUGAGACGCGGAAGCGUGGGGAGCAAACAGG